rnacentral:rRNA from 1 species
GAACGCUUGCGGCGUGCCUAAUACAUGCAAGUCGAACGGAGUGUAUCGAUUUCGGUUGAUAUCUCAGUGGCGUCCGGGUGAGUAACACGUAGCUGACCUGCCCUUGACAGGGGGAUAACCUCGCGAAAGCGAGGCUAAGACCGCGUACGCUCGUGAGGAUUAGAAGCCUCGUGAGGAAAAACUACGGUUGGUCAAGGAGGGGGCUGCGCUCCAUCAGCUAGUUGGUGAGGUAAAGGCUCACCAAGGCAGCGACGGAUCGGGGACCUGAGAGGGUGACCCCCCACACUGGAACUGACACACGGUCCAGACUCCUACGGGAGGCAGCAGUAAGGGAUAUUGCGCAAUGGGCGAAAGCCUGACGCAGCAACGCCGCGUGCAGGAAGAAGGGCUUCGGCUCGUAAACUGCUUUUCUGGGGGACGAGUAAGGACGGUACCCCAGGAAGAAGUCUCGGCUAACUACGUGCCAGCAGCCGCGGUAAAACGUAGGAGGCGAGCGUUAUCCGGAUUUACUGGGCGUAAAGCGCGUGCAGGCGGUUUGGUAAGUUGUGCGUGAAAGCUCCCAGGCUCAACCGGGAGAGGUCGUGCAAGACUGCCAGACUAGAGUUAGAGAGAGGCCAGUAGAAUUCCGGGUGUAGUGGUGAAAUGCGUAGAGAUCCGGAGGAAUACCAGAGGCGAAGGCGGCUGGCUGGCUCUAAACUGACGCUCAGACGCGAAAGCAUGGGGAGCGAACGGGAUUAGAAACCCCGGUAGUCCAUGCCGUAAACGAUGCUCACUAGACGUUGGGGGGGCAACCCCUCAGUGCCGAAGCAAACGCUAUAAGUGAGCCGCCUGGGGAGUACGGCCGCAAGGCUAAAACUCAAAGGAAUUGACGGGGGCCCGCACAAGCAGCGGAGCGUGUGGUUUAAUUCGGGGCUACACGAAGAACCUUACCUGGGUUUGACAUAGCAGUGGUAGUGAAGCGAAAGCGGAACGACCUUCGGGAGCUGUUACAGGUGCUGCAUGGCUGUCGUCAGCUCGUGUCGUGAGAUGUUCGGUUAAGUCCGGUAACGAGCGCAACCCUCGGGCCUAGUUACAAGUGUCUAGGCCGACUGCCCGGAGGAACUGGGAGGAAGGUGGGGAUGACGUCAAGUCAGCAUGGCCUUUAUAUCCAGGGCUACACACACGCUACAAUGGUCGGUCCAAUGGGAAGCCAAGCCGCAAGGCGGAGCCAAUCCUGAAAAGCCGAUCUCAGUUCGGAUUGUCGGCUGCAACUCGCCGGCAUGAAGUGUAAUCGCUAGUGGCGCAGGUCAGCCAUACU